AGAGGUGCCAGGCUGACAGGUCUCUCCUUAUCCACAGAAGAGUAGCAGAACAGGCAGAAGUAAUACAAGCUUCCCAACACUGCCUCACCAAUGUGCCUCAACCCUGACUUGGAGGGGUCACCUUGCGGGACGAGAGAGCAUUCAGUCUCCAUGGCCCUCUCAAUCCUCAAUCUCU
rnacentral:sRNA from 1 species